GGCUAGGUGGCAGAGUGGUUAUGCCGCGGCCUGCAAAGCCGUUUACGCCGGUUCGAUUCCGACCCUAGCCUCCA
rnacentral:tRNA from 1 species